UACAGAGGUCCCAAGCGUUGUUCGGAUUCAUUGGCGUAAAGGGUGCGUAGGUGGCAUGGUAAGUCGGGUGUGAAAUCCCGGGGCUCAACCCCGGAACUGCACUCGAUACUACCGUGCUCGAGUACUGGAGAGGAGACUGGAAUUUACGGUGUAGCAGUGAAAUGCGUAGAUAUCGUAAGGAAGACCGGUGGCGAAGGCUAGUCUCUGGACAGUUACUGACACUGAGGCACGAAGGCCAGGGGAGCAAACGGG
rnacentral:rRNA from 1 species